UAUCCCUUAUUUUUUCCCUAUAAAUUGAUGUCUUCCCCCUUGAACCAUCACAACAAGAAUUUAAUAUCUUCACAAAAAUCUGAGAUAGAUUUAUAGAUAUAGAGCAUAGUCAUGACAAAGAAAGAGAUGAAAACAACUGGAGUUAUGAUUAUGAUCAUGAUUAUGUUGGGUUUCUCACAAGCUAGAUAUAAUCCUUUAUUUGUGCAAACUAGGCCAACCCAUGUGUCUGAUAAACUUAAUUGUCGUGACAAAUGUACACUAGAUUGUUCACCUUUACUACUACCUCCAUUUGCCGGUGCAUUUUUAAUAUGUUACUUCCCGUGUAUGAAAAAAUGUCACAACAACCCCAUUGAUGUUGUCCACAGUUGUAAGAGUGAUUGUGCCUUGACCAAGUCCAUUAACGCCAAUAGUGAUGCUCGUGAUCCUGCGACUGACAUGGUUGAUUCUUGUGUACAAGAAUGUCACAAGUAAUAUUUGUUACAAAAAUGUUUAAGAAUAUGAUUGUUAGAAGAAAUAAUAUCCAUGUAAUUGAUAAAUCUUAAUGGAUGAGUAAAAUCUAUUUCUUAUUUUCCAUCAA